rnacentral:rRNA from 1 species
UACGUAGGGUGCUGAGCGUUGUCCGGAUUUAUUGGGCGUAAAGGGCUCGUAGGCGGCGUGUCGCGGUCGGGAGUGAAAGCCCGCUGCUUGAACGGCGGGUUGGCUUCCGGUACGGGCAUCGCUGGAGUGCGGCAGGGGGAGACUGGAAUUCCUCGGUGUAGCGGUGGAAUGCGCAGAUAUCAGGAGGAACACCGGUGGCGAAGGCGGGUCUCUGGGCCGGUUACUGACGCUGAGGAGCGGAAAGCGUGGGGGAGCGAACAGG